AUGGGAAGACUCACAGGAAGCUGAAAUGCAUAUUGCUAGAUAGAAGAACCAAUCCGAAAAGGCUACUUUCUCUAUGAUUCCAACUACGUGACUUUCUGGAAAAGGCAAAACUAUGGAGAUGGUAAAAAGAGAAAAGGAUUUCUGCUUUCAAAUCCGCUGUUUCCUGAGGCUGGGUGCUGAGUUCAGCUGCCCCUGGAGGAGCAGCAGCUCUGGGCCGCUGGCAGGGCCGCAUCCUCUUCAGUCUGGACAAAUUCCCUGCAGCCAGGGGAAGUGGCCCAUGCCUGCUGUCCUGGUAUGCAACAUCGGACCUGCAUGCUGGAAUUUGACCCUUUUCC
rnacentral:lncRNA from 1 species